CACACCGCCCGUCACACCACGGGAGGUGGAGACGCCCGAAGCCGAUUAUCUAACCUUUUGGAAGAAGUCGUCGAAGGUGGAAUCAAUAACUGGGGUGAAGUCGUAACAAGGUAGCCGUAUCGGAAGGUGCGGCUGGAUCACCUCCUUUCUAAGGAGA
rnacentral:rRNA from 1 species